UUCUCUUUUCCUUCCAUCUCCAGCACGGCUGCGAGUCUUAAUGCAGCUGACAAGUUGAGCUGUCUGGAGGGUUAUUAAUCAGCUUCUCCCACCAGUAUCCAAAGAGUUUAUCCAAGUUAAAAACACCAUCAACUCCUAAAACUCAACCCGUAGCCAUUGACUUGUGCUCCUACACUGGGCAAAGCCCCAUGGCGAGAGUGCCGGCGUUCCGGCACGCUCCUGGAGCCGGCGAGCUUGCAACGGGAUCGCUCGGCAUGACAGGGGAUUUCAGCCGCGGCGUUAUCUGGGAAUUGGCCGAUGGCUGGUCGCAGUUGAGCAUUUCAACGCCAUGAAAGCCAAUACAAUUUGAGUUAGCGGUGAUGACUGCCAGUUUAAAUACCGCAGUGAAUUUCUGUCAAAGAGCUAAUACACAGAAAGGGGAAUUGCAGAAAACUUGAUCACCAGAACCACUUCAGUCGAUUUUGGCCUCGAGCUAUAGAAAAUGAACUUAAAUCUAGUUGACUGUUGCUACAUACUUUUUGUGGUAUUGCUCUGCCUGCACGGCCAGCUCGGAGUGUCAGUGUGCAGGGGAGAAAAAUCAGGGUAGCCUUUGGCUUCUGGAGACUUUGACUGCAUCCUUCCCCUCCUCUGCUUUUUCCCCUGAGAAGGACCCACACUUGGGAGCACUUGAGAUGCUGUUUUUGCAGUGUAAGAUGUAUGGAGUGGUGGCUUCAGCUUGCCAUUAAUGUAAAGUAUUGAUUUUAUUGUUUUAACUUUGGAAAGCUGCUGCAGUUCUUUCUAACUUGGGUCUGGAAGGAUGCUCUGCUGCAGUGGCGGUGCUCGCUGCCGCUCUGGGAGAAGGUGGUGUGCUUGGGGCUCGUGUCCUUCCAUCCUGGUUGGGGACAGGCAAGGUUCUUGCGUUCCCCCCACAUCUGAAACAGUUCCUCUUGGACUGAGGUCUUAUUGAAGAGGUUUCUGAAGCCUCUGGAGAUGGAUGGACAUAACAUAUGGGCUUGUUUGCAUUAGCAUGCUUGGUGGGGGAUGAGAUGAAACCCAGUGAUCUGGAACAGUUUUGGCCUGUUGGAGGUACUGGCUGAGAGUGUCACCCAGGCGCUGGAGUUUGAACCCCAAAUCCAGUCAUUGCACUGCUGUAAGUGUUCUCCUAGCACGCUUUGGAGGUGAGGUGUGGAAAAUGGUCCUUUUCUGAUGGAUGUGUCCAUCGUGCCCUGGAUGGAUGCAGGACAGGUGCCCCAUCCUGGCGUUGAUGUCCCCAGGCUUCAGAGUGACAUCUCCUUGUUGUCAGAGCAUCUUCUGCUCCUUGGUGUCUGUGUGGCCACCUCAUGAUGUUGGUGGCACCUGGCAGACGAGGUGACUGUCACCUCUCCUGUACCAGGCUGUCUUCCCUCUCCAGGACCAGCAAAGGCUGUGAGACUCUUGCUGUAGGCACCCAUGGCUGCAUAGGGUGUGAGUGGGACCAGCAAGCGUGAUGCUGGUGGUGGUCCAUGAAUGCUUUUGUGGUGACGGUGGUGCUCCAUGAGUUCUUCUCUGGUGGUGGUGGUCCAUGAGCUCUUCUGCCGUAUGCCCUUUGCAGCACAUGCAUUAGAAACGCAUUGCACAGAAGAGCAGGUGGUUUUGGGGUAGGUUUGGCACAGCGCAAGGGCAGAGGAUGGGAACAGCUUUGUGUGGUCCAUGGGAGCCCCCACGAAUAUUACCUGAGCCCUGGGCAUGGCAGAACAUGCAGCUUCAUCCCAUCUCCAUGUGGGAUUGCAUUCCAUCUGGGCUCUAUCUAGCCCCGCUCUGCAGGGACAGGGCUCCCUGGUAGAUAACCGAAGAGAGGAGUUUUCCUUCGGGAGUGGCAGGCUGCCAGGAGCAGCGGCAAGGCUCCACAUCACUAUAAAGAAAUACACAAAACACAUACACAAAUUCCUUCUCCCAGCAGCUCACUGGGCUCAGCUUCCCUCCCAGUUCCAGGUACUGGUGUGCGCAUCCUGCCUGCGAGCCUGAGCAUCCCUUAAACCCCCCUUUUACCACGGUGCUGUGCAAAGCUGGGUUGGUUUAAUGCUCUGUUUUAAACAAUAUUGGCUAUUGGGACAAGGCAACCUCUGCUGCUGUGCUUCCCACUGCGCGGUGGUGGGAUCGGGGUGGUUCAGAGCAGCACCUUUCCGUGGGUGAUGCCGAUGGAGAAGGCGCCGGCGUGAAACUGGAGGUCAGAGCCCAGAGCUUAUGUCUUAGUCUUUGACUGGGGAGCCUAAAUAUUUAUCCUGUUCUGUCCCUAAUGAAAACAAAUUGUCAACAGUUGUUCAGUAACUGACUAAAUUAAAAUCUGUAAUUAGUCAAUUAGAUUAAAGAGUUGGCACAACCUGAUUGUAUCAUGCUGGUUAGGUUAUUAAGAGAAAGGGUGUGAUUUUUAAUUACUGAAUGCUAAUUUUGACAGAUUCAAAUGGAAACAGACGUUCCCCCCCUUCUACCCCACCCCAAGUGCCUCUGCAAAAGUAAGGCAGGGGAUGGAUUUUGUGUCAACAAAUGGUGUGAAGAUGCAAAGUUUCUCUGGAUCCGAUCCGGGAGGGGUUUCUCCGGAAAAGCCCGGGGUUGGGACGGGAGGAGAAGGAGGAUUUCUUCCGUCCUGCCUGACAAUGGGAUGGCUUGAGCCACAGUCGGGGACCUCUUGUUCUCGUGGAUGUCGGGGUGUGCGUUUGGGUGCUGUGCCAUCCCCAUCACCCCGCUUGGCGUUCGCAAUUCAGCAUGCCCUCACCGAUGCGCGCCAGCAGGGCAGAUCCAAGUCUUAUUAUCUAUAGGUUUUCUGUGUUCUGUUUCUAACCCCCUCCUCGAUGGCAGGCCAAGCCUGCAGCAGGGAGGAGGAGGAUGAUGAUGGGGAGGAAGGCCUUGCAUGGCGAGCAGCCCGCGCCAUCCCAUUGUUUGCCCCGGCAGCGCCGCGGCCACGUGGGCCAGCGCGGUGAGGCCGGCGAGGGGACCGCGGCGGGAGCGAACGCCCCUGGCAGAUGCUCGGCUGUGGGCGAGCACAAAGCUCGCAGCCCUGCCCUCCCCUGCUUUCUGGGGUCUCUUCCCAGGAACAAAGGGGCUGUGCUGGGCUGGGCUGUACUGGGGCGGGGGGGCUCCCCAUGCUGCUGCAGCGGGCAGUGGGGAGGUUCGUUAGGUCAGGACGCCAUGUAUUGGGUACGAGUGAGGCUUUCCUGUUCUCCUGAUCAUUUCCUUCCUUACCUUGGAAACUUGGAUUUUCUCCUACCUUUUGUUCCCGGUUUUUCUCUUGUAAAGCUGUCCCUAGAUCUAUUGGAAACAGCUGCUGGAGCGGGGCUCAGGAGCGGGCGGAGGGCUCUGGCUCUGACUCCUCCUUCACCGUGCAUGGCCCCAUGGCUGAGCUGGCACCACCUAAAUGGCACCCGGCUGUGCAAAACCCUUGGUGAAGGGGGGGUGUGUGUGUGCUAGAGAAGAGGUGGGGGACCCACUGCAGCGGCGUUUGGUCCUUAUGAGCAAAGGGGAUGGCAGGGGGAGAGCAGCGCAGCACCCACAGCAGCUCAUGCGCAUCCCAACCAGUGCUGGGGUCUGCCCACGGGGACCACAGAGCAGGCUGUAUCCCCAUGAGCAUCACACCGCUGCUUCACCGGCAUCCCCCUCGUGGGUCAGGUUUGAAACUCCCACUGAGGCUUCUGAUCAACCCACAUGUUCCCCCCCCCACACCUUAUUUCCCAGCAGCUUUUCCAUGAAAGUCCUGACCCUGCAGAUUCCCAUGGGGAGACCCACCAGGGGCUGUGGGGUGGAAGCAGCACUCUCCUCCAUGCUGGCAGGGAGCAAACCCAGCUCUUUGCAAGUAAACAAAUACCUUGCCUCUGCCUUGCUUUGGGUUCUGUUGUUUUCUUUUCUUCUCUCACAACUCCUGCUUGUGGCCACAAGUGCCAGGAGCUGAGUUCAAAGCUGCAGCUGAGCAGUCAAGGGGGGGGAUUUCCAAAACACAGCAAUGCUGAUUUUGAAUGCUGCUUCCCACAUGUGUGCCAGGACACAGCCUCCCCACCGCCACCUCCCUGCUCCCAUCCCUGCAUCCCAUAGGAGUGAUACCCAUUCCCUGCGCCUGGCUGGAGUAAGAAGGCUGCCUGGGGGUAUUUGGGUGAGGUUUGUGCAGCUCCCUUUGGUAAAGGCAGCUUUUCUUUUGUCUCAGGUUUGUGCAUUUAAAUCAUGUAGUUUUUGGAGGAGAAAUGCCCAGCCUCCUGCCUGAGUUUAAUGCUGCGUGUAUGGAGAUUGUUAGUAUCAGCAUUAAGCAAUAUAUAUAUAUAUGUGAUUAUAUAUGCAGUUAUAUCCAUGCAAUAUGGAGAAUUAAGGUUUACAUAUGGACGCAGAUAGAUGUAGGUGCGUGUGCCUGUGUGUUUGGUGUGUGUUUGGGGCAGCAUGGCAGAGCAGCGCUUCACACCCAGCCAUCAGGUACCCUCCAGCCUGCCUUACUCUUCCUCCUCCAUUGCCAUCACCACCACAACCAGUGGCUUUUAGCAAGGUGAUUUCCACCUCUGUGUCCCCCAGGCUGGGCAGGAGGCUGUGGGGUCCGUCUGUCUGUCUGUGUGUGUGCGAGCAGCGCCGCUGCAGCCUGCCGCCUCGAGAUAAAGUCCAAAGGAAGACCUCUGGCUGUGUCUUAAGCUAACAUUUUCUUUCCCAUUUUUCCCCCCUCCUUAAUGUUUCUGCAUCAACCCUUGAACAUUUGAUCUGGUGCCUCUCCUCCUGGGGUGCGGUGGCUUUCUGUAGUGAAAAUGAGCUCUCGCCGCCCCUUCUGCUCGCCUCAGACGCGGCUUGGGGUGGGGUUUAUUCCCUGGAUUUGGGCUGGUUUCUCGCAGUCUUGCAGGGCUGAGUCUGCACCUAUAAUUGGGAUUGUUUAGCUGCAAGGAUGCACUGCAGCACCUCUGACUCCCAGCAUGGCGUAGGUGCUGGCAUCCCAUGGCAUUCCCAGUGGGCACAGCAGCCCUAAGCCAGUCCCUCCGUCCUGAUGUGGGUUUUCUUCUGUGCCCCCUUCCUGCCCCAGCUCCCACACAUGCUUCUGCCAUCACAUCUGGUCCAGCACCGAGUGCCCACCAAGUGGUUGGCCGGCAUUCCCUUAGUUCCAGGCUUGCACUGAGGGUUUCCCAACCCUUGGCUUUACUUAUCUAUUAACUUCUGGCAACCAUAAGGAGAAAAAUGCCCCUGCAUCACCCCCAUGUGAGCCAACAGUGCCUGGCUCUCCCUCCAGAGCAGGCACAGAGCUGCUGCCUGCCCCAGGCAGUGCUUUUGCAGCUCAGCAUCAGGGCAGGGGAGGAGCUGGGAGCCUGGUUUGUUGGGUUGGUGUGUUUUGCUUUUUAUUUAAGUGAAAAAGGUGGUGUAUGCUGGGGAAGGGGGCAGGGCGCUUCCUCGAGGCUGGUUUGGGGUGGGCAGAUAAGGCUGCAGUGUCUCGUUUGGCUCUGCUCCCCUGCCAAAGCCCAACAGAGCAUCCUCCUGCUCUGCCUGGCCCUCACUGGGUGCGUGUCCCCAUUUCUGGAGGGAACCCCACUGGGAUAAGGGCAGCCUGUGGGGCGCAGGGGCUGCCUGAGCCUCCACAUCCCCCUGCCUGGGAGUGGUGCUUGCAGUGAGGAGGAUGAGGAGGGAGACGUGCUUCCCUCCUCCUUUCUGCGUCACAGCCGGCCUCCCCCUGCACCACCAUCCAUCUGCCUGUGGGAUGGGGAGGUGAAGAGGGAAGGUUAUGGCUGGCGGCAGCAGCCUCAUCAUCACAGCUGCAUCCCUUCUUGUCCCACUCCUGUGUCCCAGUGGCUCAGGGCAGGGUGCCUGUUCUUCCCAAGGAACAGAACGUGGGUUUGCCUGUUGGUGAUGGACACCCUUUAGCUGGGUCUUUCUCUUACACAGGAGUCAUCAAGGAGUUUUCAACAUGACUUAUAUAAAGCCUUUGUACUUGGAUUGCUCCACCGUGCUGCACAAUGGCUUCUUUGUCAUCUUGCCAGCUAAUUAAUUUCAACUUUUACCGCUGCUCCAGCGCCGUGCACCAUCCACAUGGUCCAUUUGGAGCUUCCUCCCCCACCUUAAGUGUUUUCCAAGCAGUUGGACUUGUUGCUGUUGGGCAUGGGAGAAACCCACUGGUGCUCAUCUCCUAGAGAAGGAGCUGCGCUGGCGCAGGGGCCAGUGAAGAAACAGCCAUUAGGAGGCUCAAGUUGUCUCCAGUGGCUUGUUUCUGCUGGCUGGCAGCGAAAGGUCCCCACAGAGAACAUCCUCUGAUGAAAAUAACAGGCUCUUGCUCCUCGGCUGGUGAUUGGCACCGAAUGCAUCUCACAGCUGGAGGUGAAAGCUUUGGCUGCAUCUUCAAGACACAACCCCUCAUGCUUGGGAACAUGCAUUCACUGGGACAUGGCGAUGGUUAUUUCUGGAGGGUCAGGCUCUGGUUGGUUGUGUGCUGAAGAUAGGUGUUUUUUCCCUUGCAUCCUUGCUCUGGGUACCACCACAGCAUCCCUGGUGCGGUGGGGAGUUCACCGUUGGUACCCUGGGAUGCUCGCGAGGGAGCUGAGCAUCUCCUUGGAGAAGGACCAGGAGGGCUGUGACCCCAGCUGCGUGUCCCCAGCCCGGUGGGGUGGGAUGGGCCAUGGUAUUGUUUUUCCCUGGUAAGAGGGAUGGAGAUGCCACAUGCAUAAACGUCAGCUGAAUUAGCAGUGGUGGGGUUUGUGUGAGCAGUGCUGCAGCAGAGGGGAGGUCCCCUCUGCUUGGGAUGGGGACGGUGGCAGGUCAGGGAAUAUGGAAUUGCUGCCUUUGUGUUUAAUCUGGUUAUAAGGACGGCUAUUAGAGAUAAUGAAUUUUGCCUGUCCCUACCGUUGUAAUACAAGAACCCAACUGUCUUUCA